CUUCGGCAAUGGGCGCAAGCCUGACCGAGCGACGCCGCGUGCGGGAUGAAGGUCUUCGGAUUGUAAACCGCUGUCGGAGGGGAUGAAGUGUAUGGGAGCAAUCUCCUGUAUUUGACAGAGCCUCGGAGGAAGCACGGGCUAAGUUCGUGCCAGCAGCCGCGGUAAUACGAACUGUGCAAACGUUAUUCGGAAUCACUGGGCUUAAAGGGUGCGUAGGCGGUCGCACAAGUCAGGUGUGAAAUCCCCCGGCUCAACCGGGGAAUAGCGCUUGAAACUAGGUGACUUGAGUGAGGUAAGGGUACGCGGAACUUCUGGUGGAGCGGUGAAAUGUGUAGAUAUCAGAAGGAACGCCGGUGGCGAAAGCGGCGUACUGGGCCUUGUCUGACGCUGAGGCACGAAAGCUAGGGAAGUGAACGGGAUUAGAUACCCCGGUAAUCCUAGCCGUAAACACUGAGCACUGGAGGGGAGGGGCUUCGGCCGUUUCCCUCGUAGCGAAAGCGUUAAGUGCUCCGCCUGGGGAGUAUGGUCGCAAGGCUG
rnacentral:rRNA from 1 species